rnacentral:lncRNA from 1 species
UCAGUGACUUUUGGACAAGAAGUUCUAUAACUGAUUUUGGUUUUCUCUGAUCUCAGUGUUUUACAUGGUGGUGGAAAGAAUUUAUAGAAACGUAAACAAUUGGAAGACUCUUAAUCAUAAACGUUUCACUUUUGAAGUCUCAAGUGAUGUAAAUUAUUGUCACAUGUGUAGGAAUAACUGCUAUGUUUUAUCCUGUAAGUGAGAAAUUAUGUACCAACUGAUGCUUUUCUGUUUUGAAAUGGGCAGAUGGUAUGUUAAAACAUCUAACUGUAACUAGGAUGCGGGGAUUGUUUUUCUUGAUGUUUUUUAUUUAGUGCAAAGUUAAAGCUUUCUCUUCCUUGCUAUAGCUUUUCUGAAGCUAGAAGGGAGGAGUGUUGGUGUUAGACUUUCUUUAUCAUUUUCAGCCAUUGCUUGUAUGCUUUUGUCUAUAUAGCUGUUAAGGUGUAUUAAGUCUUGCUUUUUUCAUAUAAUGAAACUGAUGCUAUCUCAAAGGAAAUAUCAUCAUGUGGAAAUUUUUCCACAUGAUAUUUUACAUUAAUUAUUAGUUUAUUUUGUUUUGUAACGUGUCUAUAGAUGGAGAAAUAGGCACUUCCUCCGAGAACGUGUCUUGCAGUUCUUGUCAUAAAGCUUCAUAUUUUCUAGCUUUUAAAGCAUCUUCUCUCCAAUUUCAGAAGACCAUGCAGUAGUAUGUUAGUAGGCACUAAGAACCUACUGAAUAGAAGAAAGUAAUGUAUUAACUUCAAUUUUAUUUUCUUCCCUGUUCCUUAAUGAUGUUGAAAGUGUGCAAAGAUGAAUGAAUUCAAGGAAAGAAUUGAAAGAGUACUUGCUAAAACAUGUUAGUGAAGAUCCAAAACAGGUCCUGCAACACCUGUCCCUCUGUAGGGGAACAACUCUAAAGGAGAUAAACAGGGAUGUAACAGCAGAAAGGUUAUUAACUAGGCUCAGUUACAGAACCAGGUGAUCUGUGCUGCUUUACAGGAAUAAUUAAAAAUCAGUUUUUAAUUUCUGAUUUGUCAGUACUCCCUGUUUACACUUUCCACAGUGCAGUCUGUGGGGAAAAAUAACUAGUACUGCUUCCUACUACUGUUAACUCUUGAUGAUUUGCCAAAUAAAUUACAGUACACAGUGCUGAAACUGUUCUGU